CGGUACAGCUCCAGCCAGACACAGCGAGACUCAAGGAUCAAGGACGGGAGGUGCAUGAGGAGGAAGGAGGAUGAAAAGAGAGAGAGAGAGAGAGAGAGAGAGAGAGAGAGAGAGAGAGAGAGAGAGAGAGAGAGAGAGAUAGAGAGAGAGAGAGAGAGAGAGAGAGAGAGAGA